CGAGGCGACUCUGGAGAACAGCGGCGUUCGACACGGCGCUUACCGAAGGUGGAAGGAGCCCCCGGGCUCCGGGGCUCUCAGGUCACAGGACAGAGCGGGGAGG
rnacentral:ncRNA from 1 species